rnacentral:tRNA from 1 species
GCAUCGGUGGUGUAGUCGCGUAGAGCAUGCCCGCCUGGUCAGCAGGAGGCGCGGGUCCGAGUCCCGCCUGAUGCU